rnacentral:rRNA from 1 species
CCCUUAGAUGUUCUGGGCGGCCCGCGCAUUACAUUGGCACUCUCAAUAAGUUCCUAGAUCUAAAACUUUGGGGUAUUCUAUUAAGUGGUGUCGUGACUGGGAUUAACCCUUGCAAUUAUUGGUUACGAACGAGGAAUUCCUUGUAAUCGCGGUUUAUCAGCCCGCGUUGAAUGCGUCCCUGCCCUUUGUACACACCGCCCGUCGCUCCUACCGAUGAAUCGUCCGGUGAAGUUCAUGGAGUGGUGGUUGUUCCAGCUGCUGUCGAAGUGAAAUGGACCUCACGAUUUAGAGGAAGGAGAAGUCGUAACA